rnacentral:rRNA from 1 species
GGAUGAACGUUGGCGGCGUGCCUAAUACAUGCAAGUCGAACGAAGACUGUAGUAAUACUGUCUUAGUGGCGAACGGGUGAGUAACGCGUGGGUGACCUGCCCCGAAGUGUGGGAUAACAGUUCGAAAGAACUGCUAAUACCGCAUAAUAUCCAAGAGAUUAGACGCUUUUGGAUUAAAGGAGUAAUUCGCUUCGGGAGGGGCCCGCGUCCCAUCAGCUAGUUGGUAAGGUAAUGGCUUACCAAGGCGAUGACGGGUAGGGGACCUGAGAGGGUGGCCCCCCACAAUGGAACUGAAACACGGUCCAUACACCUACGGGUGGCAGCAGUAGGGAAUAUUAGUAAUGGGCGAAAGCCUGAACUAGCAACACCGCGUGUGCGAAGAAGGCCUUCGGGUCGUAAAGCACUUUUUGGAAGGAAUAGGAAGGAAUGUACUUCCAGAAUAAGUCUCGGCUAACUACGUGCCAGCAGCCGCGGUAACACGUAGGAGGCAAACGUUAUCCGGAUUUACUGGGCGUAAAGCGCGUGUAGGUGGUACUGUAAGUAGGGCGUGAAAGCUCCUGGCUCAACUGGGAGAGGCCGUUCUAAACUACAGGACUAGAGGAUGGUAGAGGGAGGUGGAAUUCCAGGUGUAGCGGUGGAAUGCGCAGAUAUCUGGAGGAACACCGGUGGCGAAGGCGGCCUCCUGGACCAUUCCUGACACUCAGACGCGAAAGCUAGGGUAGCAAACGGGAUUAGAGACCCCGGUAGUCCUAGCCCUAAACGAUGUAGACUAGGCGUCGGAAGCUUAAUCGCUUUCGGUGUCCAAGCUAACGCGAUAAGUCUACCGCCUGGGGACUACGGCCGCAAGGUUAAAACUCAAAGGAAUUGACGGGUCCCCGCACAAGCAGCGGAGCGUGUGGUUUAAUUCGUUGCUACACGAAGAACCUUACCUGGGUUUGACAUAGCAGUGGUAGGGAAGCGAAAGCGGACCGACCCUUCGGGGAGCUGUUACAGGUGUUGCAUGGCUGUCGUCAGCUCGUGUCGUGAGAUGUUCGGUUAAGUCCGCUAACGAGCGCAACCCGCGUUGUGUGUUACAAGUAUCACACAAUACCGCCGGUAUUAAGUCGGAGGAAGGUGCGGAUGACGUCAAGUCAGCAUGACCUUUAUAUCCAGGGCUACACACACGCUACAAUGGUCAGCACAAUAGGUUGCCAAGUCGUGAGACGGAGCCAAUCCUCCAAAGCUGGCCUCAGUUCAGAUUGCAGGCUGCAACUCGCCUGCAUGAAGUUGGAGUUGCUAGUAACCGCAGGUCAGCUAUACUGCGGUGAAUACGUUCCCGGGGAU